GGUUAAGCGACUAAGCGUACACGGUGGAUGCCCUGGCAGUCAGAGGCGAUGAAGGGCGUGCUAAUCUGCGAUAAGCGCCGGUAAGGUGAUAUGAACCGUUAUAACCGGCGAUACCCGAAUGGGGAAACCCAGUGUGACUCGUCACACUAUCAUUAACUGAAUCCAUAGGUUAAUGAGGCGAACCGGGGGAACUGAAACAUCUAAGUACCCCGAGGAAAAGAAAUCAACCGAGAUUCCCNCAGUAGCGGCGAGCGAACGGGGAGGAGCCCAGAGCCUGAAUCAGCAUGUGUGUUAGUGGAAGCGUCUGGAAAGGCGCGCGAUACAGGGUGACAGCCCCGUACACAAAAGCGCAUGUGCUGUGAGCUCGAUGAGUAGGGCGGGACACGUGGUAUCCUGUCUGAAUAUGGGGGGACCAUCCUCCAAGGCUAAAUACUCCUGACUGACCGAUAGUGAACCAGUACCGUGAGGGAAAGGCGAAAAGAACCCCGGCGAGGGGAGUGAAAAAGAACCUGAAACCGUGUACGUACAAGCAGUGGGAGCACCCUUUGGGGUGUGACUGCGUACCUUUUGUAUAAUGGGUCAGCGACUUAUAUUCUGUAGCAAGGUUAACCGAAUAGGGGAGCCGGAGGGAAACCGAGUCUUAACCGGGCGUUAAGUUGCAGGGUAUAGACCCGAAACCCGGUGAUCUAGCCAUGGGCAGGUUGAAGGUUGGGUAACACUAACUGGAGGACCGAACCGACUAAUGUUGAAAAAUUAGCGGAUGACCUGUGGCUGGGGGUGAAAGGCCAAUCAAACCGGGAGAUAGCUGGUUCUCCCCGAAAGCUAUUUAGGUAGCGCCUCGUGAAUUCAUCUCCGGGGGUAGAGCACUGUUUCGGCUAGGGGGCCAUCCCGGCUUACCAACCCGAUGCAAACUGCGAAUACCGGAGAAUGUUAUCACGGGAGACACACGGCGGGUGCUAACGUCCGUCGUGAAGAGGGAAACAACCCAGACCGCCAGCUAAGGUCCCAAAGUCAUGGUUAAGUGGGAAACGAUGUGGGAAGGCCCAGACAGCCAGGAUGUUGGCUUAGAAGCAGCCAUCAUUUAAAGAAAGCGUAAUAGCUCACUGGUCGAGUCGGCCUGCGCGGAAGAUGUAACGGGGCUAAACCAUGCACCGAAGCUGCGGCAGCGACACUGAUGCGUUGUUGGGUAGGGGAGCGUUCUGUAAGCCUGUGAAGGUGUGUCGUGAGGCAUGCUGGAGGUAUCAGAAGUGCGAAUGCUGACAUAAGUAACGAUAAAGCGGGUGAAAAGCCCGCUCGCCGGAAGACCAAGGGUUCCUGUCCAACGUUAAUCGGGGCAGGGUGAGUCGACCCCUAAGGCGAGGCCGAAAGGCGUAGUCGAUGGGAAACGGGUUAAUAUUCCCGUACUUGGUGUUACUGCGAAGGGGGGACGGAGAAGGCUAUGUUGGCCGGGCGACGGUUGUCCCGGUUUAAGCGUGUAGGUGUGUGUUCCAGGUAAAUCCGGUUCACUUUAACACUGAGGCGUGACGACGAGGCACUACGGUGCUGAAGCAACAAAUGCCCUGCUUCCAGGAAAAGCCUCUAAGCAUCAGGUAACAUCAAAUCGUACCCCAAACCGACACAGGUGGUCAGGUAGAGAAUACCAAGGCGCUUGAGAGAACUCGGGUGAAGGAACUAGGCAAAAUGGUGCCGUAACUUCGGGAGAAGGCACGCUGACACGUAGGUGAAGUGAUUUACUCAUGGAGCUGAAGUCAGUCGAAGAUACCAGCUGGCUGCAACUGUUUAUUAAAAACACAGCACUGUGCAAACACGAAAGUGGACGUAUACGGUGUGACGCCUGCCCGGUGCCGGAAGGUUAAUUGAUGGGGUCAGCGCAAGCGAAGCUCCUGAUCGAAGCCCCGGUAAACGGCGGCCGUAACUAUAACGGUCCUAAGGUAGCGAAAUUCCUUGUCGGGUAAGUUCCGACCUGCACGAAUGGCGUAAUGAUGGCCAGGCUGUCUCCACCCGAGACUCAGUGAAAUUGAACUCGCUGUGAAGAUGCAGUGUACCCGCGGCAAGACGGAAAGACCCCGUGAACCUUUACUAUAGCUUGACACUGAACAUUGAGCCUUGAUGUGUAGGAUAGGUGGGAGGCUUUGAAGUGUGGACGCCAGUCUGCAUGGAGCCGGCCUUGAAAUACCACCCUUUAAUGUUUGAUGUUCUAACGUGGACCCGUGAUCCGGGUUGCGGACAGUGUCUGGUGGGUAGUUUGACUGGGGCGGUCUCCUCCUAAAGAGUAACGGAGGAGCACGAAGGUUGGCUAAUCCUGGUCGGACAUCAGGAGGUUAGUGCAAUGGCAUAAGCCAGCUUGACUGCGAGCGUGACGGCGCGAGCAGGUGCGAAAGCAGGUCAUAGUGAUCCGGUGGUUCUGAAUGGAAGGGCCAUCGCUCAACGGAUAAAAGGUACUCCGGGGAUAACAGGCUGAUACCGCCCAAGAGUUCAUAUCGACGGCGGUGUUUGGCACCUCGAUGUCGGCUCAUCACAUCCUGGGGCUGAAGUAGGUCCCAAGGGUAUGGCUGUUCGCCAUUUAAAGUGGUACGCGAGCUGGGUUUAGAACGUCGUGAGACAGUUCGGUCCCUAUCUGCCGUGGGCGCUGGAGAACUGAGGGGGGCUGCUCCUAGUACGAGAGGACCGGAGUGGACGCAUCACUGGUGUUCGGGUUGUCAUGCCAAUGGCACUGCCCGGUAGCUAAAUGCGGAAGAGAUAAGUGCUGAAAGCAUCUAAGCACGAAACUUGCCCCGAGAUGAGUUCUCCCUGAGACUUAGAGUCUCCUGAAGGAACGUUGAAGACGACGACGUUGAUAGGCCGGGUGUGUAAGCGCAGCGAUGCGUUGAGCUAACCGGUACUAAUGAACCGUGAGGCUUAACCUU
rnacentral:rRNA from 1 species